rnacentral:lncRNA from 1 species
UGAACCGGUGCGCGUUCGCCUGCGUCGCCGCCUCCACCACCUCCGCCUCCGUCGCGCCCUCGCGCCCGUACGCGAUGUUGUCGUGGAUGCUCGCCGCGAACAGGAACGGCUCCUGCGGCACCACCGCCACCACGCGCCGCAGCGCCCGCAGGUUGUACUUGCGCACGUCCUUGCCGUCCAGGAGCACGCGCCCGGACGUGGGCUCGUAGAACCGCUGCACCAGCGCCAGCACCGAGCUCUUGCCGCACCCGCUCGGACCCACCAGCGCCAGCGUCUUCCCGGCGCGCGCCCGGAGGCUCAGGUCGCGGAACACCUGGAUGUCCGGCCGCGACGGGUACGAGAAGUCCACGUGCUUCAGCUCCACCUCGCCCUUGGGCCGCUCCGGCACCGGCGCCGCGUCCACGUCGUCGGGCUCCACCUCCGUUUUCCGGUCGAUGGUCUCGAACACGGACCGCAUCGCGCGCCCGCCCUUGACAAAGUCCGGCGCCAGCGUCAGCGUCUCGGCGGCGCCGUUGGCGGACACCAUGAGCACCAUGAACACGCGGAUGGUGCGCGAGAAGUCGGAGACGCCGUGCUUCACUAGCCACGCGGCGUACCAGAGCCCCAGCGCGUAGGACGCGUACAGCAGGAACUGCGCCACGCCGUAGCCGCUCCCGGCGAUCUGCCCCUUCCAGAAGCAGCGCCGGAGCGGGCCGCGAAGGUUGGCCUCGAAGAGCCACCGCUCCGACUCGGCGUCCAGCGCGCUGGUCGCCUCGUCCAGCAGCAUGAUGGCCGCCUGCUUCACCAGCGCGCGCGCGAUCGCGAUCCGCUGCCGCUGCCCGCCCGACAGCUGCACCCCGCGCUCGCCCACCUGCGUCCCGUAGCCCUCCGGCAGCGCCGAGAUGAACCGGUGCGCGUUCGCCUGCGUCGCCGCCUCCACCACCUCCGCCUCCGUCGCGCCCUCGCGCCCGUACGCGAUGUUGUCGUGGAUGCUCGCCGCGAACAGGAACGGCUCCUGCGGCACCACCGCCACCACGCGCCGCAGCGCCCGCAGGUUGUACUUGCGCACGUCCUUGCCGUCCAGGAGCACGCGCCCGGACGUGGGCUCGUAGAACCGCUGCACCAGCGCCAGCACCGAGCUCUUGCCGCACCCGCUCGGACCCACCAGCGCCAGCGUCUUCCCGGCGCGCGCCCGGAGGCUCAGGUCGCGGAACACCUGGAUGUCCGGCCGCGACGGGUACGAGAAGUCCACGUGCUUCAGCUCCACCUCGCCCUUGGGCCGCUCCGGCACCGGCGCCGCGUCCACGUCGUCGGGCUCCACCUCC